GGGAGCACAGCUCAGUGGAAGAACAUGUGCUUUGCAUGCAGAAGGUCCCAGUUCAGUCCCCUGGUGUCUUCA